GUGGGUUCACAGUGAGGAGCACAUCCUGGGUUGGGGCAGGAUGCUGAGAGACCAAGACCUAAAUCCUGCUCGAGGAAAUGCAUCCCCUGCCCCAUUUCUAAGCUUUCUGUGGACAGCACUCCUCACUCUUAUCCAGCUGAUGUGGCAUCUGUGUUUUCUUUCUCAUCCUGGUUCAGGCUUUGAGCUGUGAAAUACCCUGCCUCAUGAAUACGCAAAUAACCUGAGGUCUCCUGAGACAAAUAUAGAUAUAUUGGCACCCUGAGAGCAUCACAUAACAACCACAUCCUCCUCUAAAGAAGUCCCUGGGAACACAGCUCAUCACCAUGGACUGGACGUGGAGACUCCUCUUUGUGGUGGCAGCAGCUACCAGUGCCCACUCCCAGGUCCAGCUGGUGCAGUCCGGGGCUGAGGUGAAGAAGCCUGGGGCCUCAGUGAAGCUCUCCUGCAAGGCUUCUGGAUUCACCUUGGGCAGCUAUGCUAUCAGCUGGGUGCGACAGGCCCCUGGACAAGGGCUUGAGUGGAUGGGAGUGAUCAUCCCUCUUGUUGGUAUAACAAACUACGCACAGAAGUUCCAGGGCAGAGUCACAAUUACCGCCGACACGUCCACAAACACAGCCUACAUGGAGCUGAGCAGCCUGAGAUCUGAGGACACGGCCGUGUAUUACUGUGCGAGAGGCACAGUGUGAAAACCCACAUCCUGAGAGUGUCAGAAACCCUGAGGGAGAAGGCAGCUGUGCGGGGCUGAGGAGAUGACAGGGGUUAUUAGGUUUAAGGCUGUUUACAAAAUAGGUUAUACAUUCGAGAAAAAAA